rnacentral:lncRNA from 1 species
CUUUUACAUUUAAGAAUAGUUAUAUAACUUUCCCCAAGAAAUUGAAUACAAAAAGCUUCUAGGGUCUUCUCGUCUGCCCUCUAGGAAGAUAUUUUUUAAUCUUCUUUAAGUUCGUCAUUCGAUAAGAGGAUAGCUACCUCUGGUUUCUUCCUUCAUGCUAGUUCACAAUUAAUAAACUUUUGAUUACGCUACCUUAGCGUUUGACGGCCUUUUAAACUAAUUUUCAAUGGGCAGAAGUUACCGAUUAUAUGAACGACAAUGUUUUUGAUAAACAUUCCAGAGGUAUAUUUCAGAAUUCUCUUUUCUCGGAGUUUUUUAUGUAAAAAACUAAAUAUUUACUUUUAUUUUUCACUACUAAUAGUUUCACUGGCUCCAGAGUUUCUUAAACUACAUCUCCUUUUUUCUAUCGUCGGGGAUACUAUUAAGAGUUUUACUCUCUUACUAUUUUUUAUAUUGAAAACGUAGGCAGUUUGAAAGAAAAAUUAGCUUUACUACAUGAAUUAAGUCUUUAGAUAAAAACGAGAGUAAGGGAUAUUCCCCUUAAUUAUGCCUUCUUAGAUUUCUAUCUCAUCCAGAUAUAAN